rnacentral:rRNA from 1 species
AGUGAACGCUGGCGGUAGGCCUAACACAUGCAAGUCGAACGGCAGCACAGUAAGAGCUUGCUCUUACGGGUGGCGAGUGGCGGACGGGUGAGGAAUACAUCGGAAUCUACUUUUUCGUGGGGGAUAACGUAGGGAAACCUACGCUAAUACCGCAUACGACCUACGGGUGAAAGCAGGGGAUCUUCGGACCUUGCGCGAUUGAAUGAGCCGAUGUCGGAUUGGCUAGUUGGCGGGGUAAAGGCCCACCAAGGCGACGAUCCGUAGCUGGUCUGAGAGGAUGAUCAGCCACACUGGAACUGAGACACGGUCCAGACUCCUACGGGAGGCAGCAGUGGGGAAUAUUGGACAAUGGGCGCAAGCCUGAUCCAGCCAUACCGCGUGGGUGAAGAAGGCCUUCGGGUUGUAAAGCCCUUUUGUUGGGAAAGAAAAGCAGCAGGUUAAUACCCCGCUGUUCUGACGGUACCCAAAGAAUAAGCACCGGCUAACUUCGUG